GCGGGCGCGCGCACGUCUAGAAAGAGAGGCACCGGCGGCGGCGUCGCGGCCGCACGGACGCGCACGCAGGCACGCGCAGGUAAAGGGACACAUCACAGUUUUGACUACAGCAGAAUUAAGGAUUCAGAGAAACGUAAGUAUAUGUUUUGUUUUGACUUUUCUCAGGUUCUUAAUAUUUUGGUUGCUCUUGUAAAAACCCAACUUUGGGGCUUGUGUGAAAGGAAAAUAAAUCUUGGGACCCCAUAAUCACUAAACCAAAGGGGACAGUCAAGCUGGGAACUGCAUCAGGCAAACCUGCCUCCCAUUCUAUUCCUAAAAAAGAUAGCUACUAAGAUUAAAAAGCUACCUACCUCCCUCACAAGGAAAUUCCUUGUGGACAAAUGACAGAACUCGGAGCCACCCAUCUGCUCACUGAGAUAGAUGCAUCUCUGACUGCCUCCUUUGGAAAGGCCAAUCAGAAACUCAAAAGAAUGCAACUGUUUGUCUCUUAUCUACCUAUUAACUGAAAGCCCCUGCCCUGCUUCAAGUUGUCUGGCCUGUCUGGACCAAACCAAUGUACAUCUUACAUAUAUUGAUUGAUGUCCCAUGUCUCCCUAAAAUGUAUAAAACUAAGCUGUACCCCAACCACCUUGGGCACAUGUCAUCAGGACCUCCUGAGGCCAUGUCAUGGGUGUGUGUCCUUAACCUUGGCAAAAUAAACUUUCUUUUUUUUUUUCACAUUUCUUUCAUUUUUUUUAUUAUUAUUAUACUUUAAGUUUUAGGGUACAUGUGCACAAUGUGCUGGUUAGUUACAUAUGUAUACAUGUGCCAUUCUG
rnacentral:lncRNA from 10 species